AGGAAAGAUGGCGGAGUGCCUAAUACAUGCAAGUCGAGCGAACGGACGAGAAGCUUGCUUCUCUGAUGUUAGCGGCGGACGGGUGAGUAACACGUGGAUAACCUACCUAUAAGACUGGGAUAACUUCGGGAAACCGGAGCUAAUACCGGAUGAUAUUUUGAACCGCAUGGUUCAAAAGUGAAAGACGGUCUUGCUGUCACUUAUAGAUGGAUCCGCGCUGCAUUAGCUAGUUGGUAAGGUAACGGCUUACCAAGGCAACGAUGCAUAGCCGACCUGAGAGGGUGAUCGGCCACACUGGAACUGAGACACGGUCCAGACUCCUACGGGAGGCAGCAGUAGGGAAUCUUCCGCAAUGGGCGAAAGCCUGACGGAGCAACGCCGCGUGAGUGAUGAAGGUCUUCGGAUCGUAAAACUCUGUUAUUAGGGAAGAACAUAUGUGUAAGUAACUGUGCACAUCUUGACGGUACCUAAUCAGAAAGCCACGGCUAACUACGUG
rnacentral:rRNA from 1 species